UACGAAGGGGGCUAGCGUUGUUCGGAAUCACUGGGCGUAAAGCGCACGUAGGCGGAUUGUUAAGUCGGGGGUGAAAUCCUGAGGCUCAACCUCAGAACUGCCUUCGAUACUGGCAAUCUCGAGUCCGGAAGAGGUUGGUGGAACAGCUAGUGUAGAGGUGAAAUUCGUAGAUAUUAGCUAGAACACCAGUGGCGAAGGCGGCCAACUGGUUCGGCACUGACGCUGAGGUGCGAAGGCGUGGGGAGCAAACAGG
rnacentral:rRNA from 1 species